GCCCCGCGGGCUCCCGGCCGCAGCCUCACCCGCUGCCCGAGAGCUCCGAGCGAGGGUUUCGUUUCUCGUGUGUUGCUAUUUUUCUAUCUCCGCACAAAGAGAGCCCUUCUCUCAGACAAAGCAUCCGGCCGCGCUACCCGGGAGGACGACGGGCGCUCGGACUCCGCGGUCGGUGUCGCUCCGGGUUGGCUGGGGGGCAUUAUGUGCUCGGGGCGACCCUCUCCUGCUGGGGAAAGCGCGGCCGGCAGGUGCCUGGGGAGCGGCACGGACCCGACGGCACCGCUCUCCGCCUCCUCCCCGCCCGGCUUCGGCCGCGCUACAAAGUGCGAUGGGGCGGCCGCAGGAGAAAGGAGCGGAGCAACGGUUUGUCCCGCAUUGGUUCUCGUUUCUCCGAAAGCCUGUGGUGCUUUCCUCAUGGAGUCGGACGGGAAUGUGGCUCGGAGAUGUCUUUCUGCUUUUCUACCCUCAUCUACUGUCGUUCUGUGAAUAAAGAGUACGGCAGCAUGUAGGCUCACUAAGCAUUUUCAUACAGCCCCUGCAAAGAACUGAGAUGCACUGCACUGUAAAAUACCGUUCACGCUGCAGAGCAGCAGAUAAAGAGAUCCCUCUGUGCUAACCUCGCACGCUGCGAGCAGCAGGGAUUGAGCCAAAAGGAACGAACAUUCCCCGCCGUCAGGCUGUCCCAGACACUGACCCGACCUUCCCACACCACCGGGAUGGUGCUCGGUGAGUGACACCUAUGGAGCCCCUCACCUACCGCCCGGAUGGUGAGGGAACCAAAUUCCAUCACAUCAGCCUUAGGGACAUCCCUAGGAAAAGCUGAUUUCCUCGGCUGGUUCGUGCAGAAGCUCGGGGAGAUGCACUGGUUGCAGGCAGGACACCAGAUGCAGUGUGCCACAGCCACAGCAUCACAACUCGGAGUUCCCUGAUUUCCCAGCACCGAGCUGGUGGGAAAAAUGAAUAGACCUCAAACUGAAAGAUAGAUACAGGUGUAAGAUAGACUCAGCUAAUUGAAAAGCUAUCUGCUCUGACAGACUGGUUUAAACUAAUUACACGAUGUAGUGCAUGCUGCCACCUACGCCUUAUGAAUCAGGUUUCUUGUACUGCAGCUCAGCAUCUGCACGCAUCCCUGUGAGACUCCACGAGGGACCGCAAACCCAGGCAGCCACGGCCAUGCUGGGGAACGAGGCAGAGCAUUUCCCACCUGCUCAGCUGCAGCGAGGAUGCCUCAGUGCCGAUGAGAAAGCGGCAGCAAAACGCGAGUAGUGGCUGGAGCCUCAUCUGUACCGCAGCUCCUGCCAGCACAGCUGUACCACUGACAGCAGCGGAACAUUUUGCUCAAGUUCUCUAGAGGAAUCAAAGCCUGUAUUUUCUGUCUCUGGCUCUCUCUUGUUCUGUUGUUCCUCGUUCUUUAGAAAAAAAAAAUAAAUCAGCCACACGCAGCACGUGGCUGCUCGCUGUGUUUGGGGAAAAAAAAAUGCUUGGGGGAAGGAAAAAAAACAGCCCAAGCUGUUUUGAAAUCAGUAGCGUGUAAACAGUACCUGGAACUGGGGGGAACAAUGAUAUUAAUUAGUACUUCGGUGUCAUAAAUAUGUGCAUCGCUGCCUGCUGUUUCAAUACGAGAGAGCACAACUUCUGUGAUGGAGCUUGGAGAGUGUUUGGGGAAUGGCACCACUAAUGCCUCCUCCAGCUCUUAUGUAACUGACAUCACAAGUCAGAGCCCAAAUUGCAAAGCAUAAGCAUGUGCAUCAUAUUAAGCAUGUAAACAGUGCCUUAAAUUACUGUCCUUUUACUGAUGGUCUGGCUUUAAUCUACUGCUAUUUUUAGUUCCUCAGUUCCGUUCAUUUCAAUAUGCAGUGGUUCCCUUCAACAGCACACCAUGAAAAUGUUCAUCCAAACUGAAAUAAUUCAGCCCAAACCUCUUUGGCUACAGGUAAAUAUAGUCUAAAUGAUUUGUACACCGGGCCUACAGCAUAUCCAGUAGUAUGAUGCUAUAGAAAGCCAGGAUACAACACUGCUGUGCUUUGCACAUCACCCAGUGUGGCUGGGUUUUUCACACCUGUCCAAGGCACAGCUUAGCAGUGUUUUUCCUUUGUGUUCUGCCUCCUUCCUACAGAACAUAUUCCCCAUUUGCACGCAGAUCUCCUGUCUGGAGUUUUAAGGUGUUAGGUGCUGAUGUUGUGAGCACCUCUUGUAUCUGUUUAAUCCAAUAACAGAUCUUGUCUUUAAUCUCCACGUCUGGGUCACAGGUUUUAAAAAAGACACUGGGCCAAAUCCCCAGCUUGGCUCUAGCGUGUGGAAAUCUACUGAGAUGGCACAGGAGUUGGGAGAGAUUCGCUGUGUCUGCACCAUGGGAAGGAAGUCUCAAGGGGCAGAGAUGGGACUGCCUCACUUUGCACAUGGAUGCGUAUUAAUGCAAGCGUAUGGCAGAGGGGAGGACUGGUCCCUGAGAAAUACUCUGCAGCAUUUGUCCUGUGCAAAAAUCCACGUUUGUGCCCUUCUUAAUGCUGCAGAAGGAAAUCCAAUGACUGUGCUUCCCUGAAAGUUCUUCUAUUUUAAUUAAGCUUACCUACAGCUAUGUGUAUACUGGCAGAUGUACUACUUUCACCUUUUAAGCAUGUCUUUAUUGCCUGAAAUAAUUGCUACUUAAGAGCUCUUAUCAAACCUUGCAAUGCCUGCCUGAAUUUGCCACCUGAUUGGAUGGGACAAGAUCAACAGGCAAUGGAUUUGUUAAAUGUUGCCGUUGUUCUUUGCUGGCUUUGUCAUAUGAAAUUUGCAAAAAUAAAAGACAACAGCAACAGCAAAUGAACAAACAAAAAAGAAAACAACUUCCCACCACGUAACCUACAUUUUCCACUUCUGUAUUUUGCAAGAGCACUCAUACCAGAAGUUGUGCAUCAGAAUUUAAUACAUAAAGUUCCUCUUUAUCAUAUGAAUUCAAUUUUCCAAAAGAAGGCAAACAUUACUAUUAAUAACUGAGAUACAAGGCCUGAAAAGGCUAAGUCUGAAUGUGCUUGCUGCAGAAAAAUGCCAUCUUGUUGGAUCCAGUUCUGGAAUCAUUACUUCGCACAAUGCAGAGCAGGCAGAGAUUUGCAUAGAAGGGCUCUGCUGGGUUAAGGUGAUGCUCACUCCUGCGUGACAGAAGCAUGUGGGUGCAGAGCUGAGCUGCAAGGAGCUCUGUGUGCAGACCAAGUAAAUUGUGCUUGUGUUGGCACGGUC